UCGGGAAUUUUGGGCAAUGGGCGAAAGCCUGACCCAGCAACGCCGCGUGAAGGAUGAAGUAUUUCGGUAUGUAAACUUCGAAAGAAUAGGAAGAAUAAAUGACGGUACUAUUUAUAAGGUCCGGCUAACUACGUGCCAGCAGCCGCGGUAAUACGUAGGGACCAAGCGUUGUUCGGAUUUACUGGGCGUAAAGGGCGCGUAGGCGGCAAUUCAAGUCAUCUGUGAAAUCUCCGGGCUUAACUCGGAACGGUCAGAUGAUACUGCUUUGCUAGAGUGCAGAAGGGGCAAUCGGAAUUCUUGGUGUAGCGGUGAAAUGCGUAGAUAUCAAGAGGAACACCUGAGGUGAAGACGGGUUGCUGGGCUGACACUGACGCUGAGGCGCGAAAGCCAGGGGAGCAAACGGGAUUAGAUACCCCAGUAGUCCCUGAGCGGGCUGGCAAGGCG
rnacentral:rRNA from 1 species